UAUCAUAACCUAGACGCAUGGUCUCCCAUGUACGAAGGUUUCCUUGAGCACUUCCCAAAGAUUUUAGUUUCUAAAACAGUUUUUGACUAUACCUUUAUGUAAGGUGUCACUGUGAGGUGCUGUCCACGGUUGGGACAUGUGUCACAUUUGGUAUAUAUUUGUAUCUAAACUCACAGCAUAUGUGUUGUUGUAUUUUGUACAACAAUUGUUGUAAUAAAGUUGUAGUUAUUUUCUGUACCAUGUAUUUGGCGACUCAGAAUGGAUUGGAUGGAAUAG
rnacentral:lncRNA from 1 species